ensembl:rRNA 5S_rRNA 5S ribosomal RNA
GUCUACGGCCAUACCACCCUGAAAGCGCCCGAUCUCGUCUGAUCUCGGAAGCUAAGCAGGGACGGGCUUGGUUAGUACCUGGAUGGGAGACAGCCUGGGAAUACCAGGUGUUGUAGGCU